UUUUGCAGGUUGUUAUUUUACACAAACACCCUCACUCUCUCUCUCUUUCCUUUACUCAAAUCUCUGCCAUUUCCAUAGCUAAUAAUAAUCCUCCCAUUGAAUCGCAUCCAUCAUCAAUCAAAUCACUUUUAAAUCUUCCUUCAUGUUCUCUCCUUCCAAUCACCUCCUCUUAUCCAAAAAGUAAAAACACAGAAGGAUAAACAGAAUUGCUUCAUUUCGUAAAGAUCUAGGUUUACUUCCUCUGUUGGAGCUUAAAUCUGACUUCGUGGAUCUGUUUCUUCUUUUUUUUUUUUUUCUUUUUCCUUUUCUUUUAAUUACAUAUGUUAAAUUACUAUUAAUUCUACGUUUAAAAAAAAUUAAAAAAUUUUAGAAAACGUUUCGGUGAAAUCUAGGGUUGUUGUAAGGAUCUAUUUAUGUUUGGAUCGACUCGAUUGGAUAUAAAUGAUGGAUACAAGUCCUGUUGUUGUAAGCGAUGUGGCGAUGUUAGAUGCGGAGAUGUUACAGCUGCCGGAAGUUGCUCCUUUGGCUUUCAAAUCGUAUCCUGACUUUGCUCAGAAGCUAUUCGAGCAGUGGCUUUCUCUUCCUGACGCUAACCGUCUGGUGACAUCAUUGCUUAAUGAUGCGAAGACAGGUGCUCCCUUGAAUGUCACUGGAAGCUCUUCUAGUGCAACUUCUACCACAAGCAGUUCUUUACCGUCCAUGUUUCCUGGAGGAAGUACUCCUCCACUUUCUCCCAGGAGUUCAGCUGGUUCCCCUCGUAUAACAAAACAGAGGACUGGCCUUUCUAAUUUAGGUUCUCCUUUAAAAUUAAUUAGUGAGCCAGUGAAGGAGUUGAUACCUCAGUUUUACUUUCAAAAUGGUCGUCCACCUCCAAAUGAACUAAAAGAACAGUGUUUGUUUCGAAUCAAUCACUUUUUCUACGGACGUUCUGAUGGACUGCAGAUACAUGAAUUCAAAUCUGUUACUAAGGAAAUAUGCAAGCUUCCCUCAUUCUUCUCCACGACUCUUUUUAGAAGGAUUGAUGUUAAUGGCACUGGUAUUGUCACGAGAGAUGCCUUUGUUAAUUACUGGAUAAAUGGCAACAUGCUGACAAUGGAUAUGGCGACCCAAAUAUAUAAAAUUCUUAAGCAACCAGAUCUCAGAUACCUCACUCAGGAGGACUUCAAACCUGUGCUUCGAGAAUUAUUGGCAACUCAUCCAGGAUUAGAGUUCUUACAGAGCACGCCCGAGUUUCAAGAAAGAUAUGCUGAAACUGUAAUAUACAGAAUAUUUUACUAUAUAAAUAGAUAUGGGAAUGGUCAUCUUUCCCUCAGAGAGCUGAAACGUGGAAACUUAAUUGAUGCAAUGCAGCAUGCAGAUGAAGAAGAGGACAUAAAUAAAGUCUUGAGAUACUUCUCUUAUGAACACUUUUAUGUGAUAUACUGCAAGUUUUGGGAACUCGACACAGAUCAUGAUUUUCUGAUCGACAAAGAAAACCUGAUCAGAUAUGGCAACCAUGCACUUACCUACCGGAUUGUUGAUAGAAUAUUCUCCCAGGUCCCAAGAAAGUUUACUAGUAAGGUUGAAGGGAAGAUGGGAUAUGAGGAUUUUGUAUACUUCAUACUGUCAGAGGAGGAUAAGUCAUCUGAGCCUAGUCUCGAGUAUUGGUUCAAGUGCAUAGAUUUGGAUGGAAAUGGAGUUUUGACAAGGAAUGAAAUGCAGUUCUUUUAUGAAGAGCAGUUGCAUCGCAUGGAAUGCAUGGCUCAAGAACCGGUGCUUUUUGAAGAUAUUUUAUGCCAAAUAAUUGACAUGAUUGGACCAGAGAAUGAGAGCUAUGUCACAUUACGUGACCUCAAAGGCUGUAAACUUUCAGGAAGUGUUUUCAAUAUCCUUUUCAACCUCAAUAAGUUUAUGGCCUUUGAAACUCGUGAUCCAUUUCUGAUUCGUCAGGAGCGUGAGAAUCCAACAUUGACAGAGUGGGAUCGCUUUGCGCAUAGAGAAUACAUUAGGCUUUCAAUGGAGGAAGAUGUUGAAGAUGCAUCUAAUGGAAGUGCAGAAGUCUGGGAUGAAUCACUUGAGGCCCCAUUUUGAAGUUAAACAGGCUUAGAUGUGACCACUUUGCUUGCUUUCUGAAAUCUUCUUAUCUUGUCUAGUGCGGUGCUGCACAUGCCUCCAUCAUAUCUUAGGAUGUGGCAGCUCUGAACUGUACAAGGGAGAGUUUAAGCCUGGUGGGAUGGAAUGAAUCCUUUUCCAAUUGCCAGCAGAGGAAUUACUAAAGCUUGCGACAUGCAACAAGGAAUAUUACCAUGGAAGUCCCUUGUUAAGGAUGCUAAAGUUCCUGGAAAGGAGGGGCAGUUGCCCAGAGGUGAGAUUUUGAUUGUCCAGGUUGAAGUAGCUCAGAACAUUUUUUAUUUAUCAAUUUGUAAGAUAUAAUCUUAUGUCAAGGUCUUUUUCCUUUUUAAUUUAGCAGUUGGUUCCUUUGAUUCCUGUUGUCUGUACUGUAACAUCUCGAGUGGUGGUUAGGCUUUUUUAUCAAUUUUUCCUUUUUUUUGGAUUGUCA